AUUGAACGCUGGCGGCAGGCUUAACACAUGCAAGUCGAGCGGGGUGAUGGUGCUUGCACUAUCACUUAGCGGCGGACGGGUGAGUAAUGCUUAGGAAUCUGCCUAUUAGUGGGGGACAACAUCUCGAAAGGGAUGCUAAUACCGCAUACGUCCUACGGGAGAAAGCAGGGGAUCACUUGUGACCUUGCGCUAAUAGAUGAGCCUAAGUCGGAUUAGCUAGUUGGUGGGGUAAAGGCCUACCAAGGCGACGAUCUGUAGCGGGUCUGAGAGGAUGAGCCGCCACACUGGGACUGAGACACGGCCCAGACUCAUCCGGGAGGCAGCAGUGGGGAAUAUUGGACAAUGGGGGGAACCCUGAUCCAGCCAUGCCGCGUGUGUGAAGAAGGCCUUAUGGUUGUAAAGCACUUUAAGCGAGGAGGAGGCUCUUUUGGUUAAUACCCAAGAUGAGUGGACGUUACUCGCAGAAUAAGCACCGGCUAACUCUGUGCCAGCAGCCGCCGUAA
rnacentral:rRNA from 1 species